GGGAAAGUAGCUCAGUGGUAGAGUGCUUGCCUUGCAUGCAUGAGGCCCUGGGUUUGAUUCCUCAGCACCG
rnacentral:tRNA from 1 species